UGCGAACAUGGCGUUCGGUUUGUUUGUUGGUGCGAUUGCUCUGUGGUAUCACGUCUCGGCUUUCUGCUUUCUACUAAGCUACUUCGUGUCACAGUUAUAACGGAGGAAAGCCAUUCAGUGGUUUCUGAGAUAUCAAAGAGGGCCGAAGAGUUUCAAUUGCCCGAUCGAGCGCUGUAAAGAGAAAUAUAUUUCACAAACCUUUUCUGGUCGAUGAAUCUCAGGUGGGACAACAAACAAAAUGGAUAUCACUGAAAGGAACCGUACUUUACGGCUCACAGAGAAUUAAUUGGACUUGGUUUCUUUGUUUAGAAAAAUCAGAAGCACUUUGCGAAAAAAAGUGGAGAGUUGCUCGUCUUCAACAAAAGAAAAGGCCACGUUGGGCCUUCGCACAAAAGGCGUUCAAAAGUAAACAAAUGAAUCGGAAAAGAGAAAAACAGUUCUAGUCAAGUCCAAGCAUCACUCGGAACUUUAAAAUGGACAUAGCUAUCUUCAAAGUCAAUUUGUACCCAGAGGUCCGUGUGUUUUAUGUGAAACACCCACGAUUCCCGCUCUUUUUACGGAUGAGAAGAUUUAUGCGUGAGACAGGUGUAAGUUGUAUAUUUGAACUAUAGAAUAGUGGCGAACAAAAAAAAACUGCCCAAUUAUCGCGGAUAAACUUGUUAUUUUGCUAUCAGGAGAAAUACAUCAACUAACUAUGGCCGGUUGCAAUUCUUGAUGUAAUUAUAUCUAAAACGCGUCAUGCAAUGGUUUUCUAGCCACUCUAGUACAUAUAAAGUUCCUGAGAUAUGAUAUAAGAGAAAGAUCUAUUGACUCCUAGCUAAAAAAUAUGAACGUGAAAGCUAUAUUGAACUAACUGAGUAAAAUUAUCUUUCUUAAAAUUUCUGUUAACAAAAAUCGAUAACAAUUCUUUGUGACAUACGAUAGACAUUUUGCAUCUUUGUGUAAAUAAAACAAUGAAACGCGCGUGCCGAAUUGAUUAUGUGUGUUGUUAAGAGCCAACCACGGAUUAUAACCAGGAUCAUUUACAAUUUACAUGAAUUAAAUGAAGUCAUAAAAGCGACGCUUCAGAAGCGAACGAACAAACGUUUACCGUACUAAUAAAGAGGAUAUGUUUAUACGGGCGAAUUCUGACAACAACUUCAACGCAUUUGGUGGAGGGGGGGUGAGCUAGAAAAGAUGCCGAUGUAUAUUGUUCUAUAUGAAAAUGCUCAAACAUGAAACACGUCGUUUUUGUGGGUGUAAGCGUGCUGGUAGUAGCAGUUAUCCUAGAGGCGCACUUCACAAGAGCGCACUUCGGUAUCAACCACCCUGGUGGCAAGCGAGGCCUGGCGGCGGCGAUUAUCAAGGAAGGCAGGAGAGCCCAUAAUAUCCCCGUCAGGAUAUCUAUCCCAGUGGUGGAAGAGACGGACUGGGCCCCACCAAGGGAGAAGGAGUCUAGACCAUGGUGGUCUUGAAUGGGAGAAGUGAAACUGAAAAAAAAAACCCUAGGAUGGAUACUACACAUGGUGGGAGCCAUAACGGAGAGAUAUGGAUGAGGACGUGCAAAGACAAUAAGAAUUCGUGAACAGCACACUUUUCCCCUUGUAAUUCUAUUUUAGAUAGGAUGAUAGCAUCAUUACAUUUUUAAAAUGGAAAUAUAUUUUCCAUCUUAAGUCACAGUGCUUUUUGUGAAAUAAAACGUAUGAAGAUU